UACGAAGGUGGCAAGCGUUGUUCGGAUUUACUGGGCGUACAGGGCGCGUAGGCGGUUGGAUAAGUCCUCCGUGAAAUCCCCAGGCUUAACCUGGGAACUGCGUCGGAUACUGGUGGGCUUGAAUUCGGGAGAGGGAUGCAGAAUUCCAGGUGUAGCGGUGAAAUGCGUAGAUAUCUGGAGGAAUACCGGUGGCGAAGGCGGCAUCCUGGACCGACAUUGACGCUGAACGGCGAAAGCUAGGGGAGCAAACGGG
rnacentral:rRNA from 1 species